AUUGAACGCUGGCGGAAUGCUUUACACAUGCAAGUCGAGCGGCAGCGCGGGGCAACCUGGCGGCGAGCGGCGAACGGGUGAGUAAUGUAUCGGAACGUGUCCUGUCGUGGGGGAUAGCCCGGUGAAAACCGGAUUAAUACCGCAUACGAUCGAGAGAUGAAAGUGGGGGACCGCAAGGCUUCACGCGAUAGGAGCGGCCGAUAUCUGAUUAGCUAGUUGGUGGGGUAAAGGCCCACCAAGGCUUCGAUCAGUAGCUGGUCUGAGAGGAUGAUCAGCCAGACUGGGACUGAGACACGGCCCAGACUCCUACGGGAGGCAGCAGUGGGGAAUUUUGGACAAUGGGGGCAACCCUGAUCCAGCCAUUCCGCGUGAGUGAAGAAGGCCUUCGGGUUGUAAAGCUCUUUUGUCCGGGAAGAAACGGUUUUGGCUAAUAACCAAGACUACUGACGGUACCGGAAGAAUAAGGACCGGCUAACUACGUGCCAGCCGCCGCGGUAA
rnacentral:rRNA from 1 species